CCUGGGAACUGCGUUNUGAACUGGGUGACUAGAGUGUGUCAGAGGGAGGUAGAAUUNCACGUGUAGCAGUGAAAUGCGUAGAGAUGUGGAGGAAUACCGAUGGCGAAGGCAGCCUCCUGGGAUAACACUGACGUUCAUGCCCGAAAGCGUGGGUAGCAAACAGGAUUAGAUACCCUGGUAGUCCACGCCCUAAACGAUGUCGAUUAGCUGUUGGGCAGCAUGACUGCUUAGUAGCGAAGCUAACGCGUGAAAUCGACCGCCUGGGGAGUACGGUCGCAAGAUUAAAACUCAAAGGAAUUGACGGGGACCCGCACAAGCGGUGGAUGAUGUGGAUUAAUUCGAUGCAACGCGAAGAACCUUACCUGGUCUUGACAUGUACGGAACCCUCCAGAGACGGAGGGGUGCCUUCGGGAGCCGUAACACAGGUGCUGCAUGGCUGUCGUCAGCUCGUGUCGUGAGAUGUUGGGUUAAGUCCCGCAACGAGCGCAACCCUUGUCAUUAGUUGCCAUCAUUAAGUUGGGCACUCUAAUGAGACUGCCGGUGACAAGCCGGAGGAAGGUGGGGAUGACGUCAAGUCCUCAUGGCCCUUAUGACCAGGGCUUCACACGUCAUACAAUGGUCGGUACAGAGGGUAGCCAAGCCGCGAGGUGGAGCCAAUCUCACAAAACCGAUCGUAGUCCGGAUUGCACUCUGCAACUCGAGUGCAUGAAGUCGGAAUCGCUAGUAAUCGCAGGUCAGCAUACUGCGGUGAAUACGUUCCCGGGUCUUGUACACACCGCCCGUCACACCAUGGGAGUGGGGGAUACCAGAAGUAGGUA
rnacentral:rRNA from 1 species